GUACACUCCUGCGGGAGGCAGCAGUGGGGAAUUUUGGACAAUGGGCGAAAGCCUGAUCCAGCAAUGCCGCGUGCAGGAUGAAGGCCUUCGGGUUGUAAACUGCUUUUGUACGGAACGAAAAAGCUCCUUCUAAUACAGGGGGCCCAUGACGGUACCGUAAGAAUAAGCACCGGCUAACUACGUGCCAGCAGCCGCGGUAAUACGUAGGGUGCGAGCGUUAAUCGGAAUUACUGGGCGUAAAGCGUGCGCAGGCGGUUAUGUAAGACAGAUGUGAAAUCCCCGGGCUCAACCUGGGAACUGCAUUGGUGACUGCAUGGCUAGAGUACGGUAGAGGGGGAUGGAAUUCCGCGUGUAGCAGUGAAAUGCGUAGAUAUGCGGAGGAACACCGAUGGCGAAGGCAAUCCCCUGGACCUGUACUGACGCUCAUGCACGAAAGCGUGGGGAGCAAACAGGAUUAGAAACCCCGGUAGUCCCAUGAU
rnacentral:rRNA from 1 species